AUGCAAACAUCUGACAGGCUGAAAUUUCAGCCUACGAACUUAAAACAGAAAGGCCCCCAGUAUUGAAUUUUGGUACGUAACCGCAGCACUCCACACAGCAUAACACGGAGCGCCCCAAAUGACAAUCCAGCCUACUCUCACUAUGACGAGCUCAAUGACAGCUGCUUCAACCCAUACUGAGAGGCUAUCAUCGUUUCCUCCUGCGUACUGAGCAAGCUUGUUUUUUCCCCUCGCUGAGGCGAGAUGAUUUUGUUUGUAUGGUGAGCAAAUCUAUCGCCGAUGAUUGCUCUAAUGAGAUGAUCAAGCAACAGCCGCUCACAUGAUGAAAUCAUGGUGAGGUCGGAUUUUGGAGUGAGUAAAAUAUCUUCUCCACAUCGAGCCGCCAUUGUGUUUUGGUUUGAGGAGAACAUCGGAUCAUUAACGAAUUGUUUACCUUUGUAAAACGUGCAAUAAUUGUCCGCGGGCUACAUUUAGCGAUUGUUUUGUUGAAAUAGCAUAUCAAAUAUCCCGAAUCCGUAUAAUUAUAGUGAAAUACUGCACAUGACAAACGGUUUGUUGAAGGAAACGUAAAAUCAUGUGUGGGAACGUGAUGAACUACUUCCCGGGUCAAUUAUUCAAGUACUGCCGCUAGAGUACAAUAAAUGUUCCAUUACCGGCAGGCUGAAAUGAUAAACAACAAAUGAAGCAGCGCUUGAAGAUGAAGAUGAUGAUACCCAGUUAUGCUAAGGCCAAUAUCCGCUUGAAGACUCCCAUAAUGAAAAGGAAGUGCAUACGGAUCUUGAAUACGUAGAUAGACUGCGAAUCGAAUGGAAGUCAAGCCAAAUGCUCACAUCAUGGUAGCAGAUAUGAAUUUGGCAAUGUUAGACCCCGCGUUUGAUAAUAGAACUUAAUUAUAUUGAAGAAAACAAUUCAGGAUUACAUGUUGGACAAUCAUCACUGUUUCUGAGGCACAAAAAUGUAUAAAGCGUCUUGGACGUAUGAAUACGUGCAUCGUGCUAUUCUACUAAAAAAUAAUCAGGUCAAUGCUCUGUAGCAAGGACUGACUAUUCGGCUACAUGAUGCUGAAUAAGUCAUGAAAGCCUGUGCUGUCCGGCAUGUUUACGUAUUUGAAGUUACGCCAAAUAGAAGACUCGAGAGAAGAACUGGGGACAUUACAACGAACGAAGAUUUUAAUAAACAAUCCGUUGAGUGCUACUGUCCAAUGUUAAUUCAUCUAACACAUAUGACCCUCCUGAUACUAAUACAAAAUUAUAGGAAAUGUUCCAUUAGGCUUAAAUGAAUAAAGCAUCUAUUAUUUCAUACUAUUAAAUAACUGUUAUUAAUUUUA